ACAAGGCUGUGAGUGUGUGUGGGACCGGCUGAGGACUCUGUGUACCUACAGUUUGAUUUGCGACUGACUGUGAGUGCUUGUGUGUGGGUUUGGGCCCAAAUGAAGGAACGAACGAGUGUGAGAGAAAAAAAAUCUAAGUAAAAAAAGACUGAUUAUUCUGGAGGUUAACUCAUUUUGUGCUCAAGAAGGACUCAAGAUUUUGGGGGCUACUUUUUAGAAUAAGUAAAUUUUCUUUCGAUCACAUUUUUCCAGUUUUCACAAUUUUGACAGAACCCUGAAAGCAAAAAACUGCAAGUCAGCUCUGGUGACUUUAUGGUGGGGGAACGCCCCAUGAGUUUGACUGACAGAGAGAUGCGCUGAUGGAGAAGUGAGUCGUUCGGCUCUGACCCCGAACAAUGAGCUUCAACGUGACGGGAGCAGACAGCCCCCAUCCUGGAAAUGUCACGGCCAACAUCAGAGACCCCACAGCCUCCUCUUUCAUUCCCUUAAUCCACAAUCCUUCCUCUCCUCUCUUCUCCUGAGCGGCAUACAUAUUCAUCGACUCAAGUCCUCACCAUUCUAAUGAGGGCUAGACCAGCGGGCUAUGAAAGAGAGCAGAGAUAUGGGAGCUAGCAGCAGGAGACAGGAAGCACAGCCUGAAAGAGUCGCUGGACUCACUAUCAGAGGGGGAAGACAGAGCUUCCCAUUCGCCGUUUUACAAACCAGAUGUUCCAUGGCCUGGAUCUGCUUAUUAGAGCCGAGCAAUAGUGCCAAAUGUACAGUGAGAGCACUUCAAUGUGACGCUGUAAGCAAGCACACUUCACAUUAAUGAGGGAAGUCAGUAUUGCGUGCUAAUGUGUUUGCAUUCAUAAUGGUUGGACAGAGACUGUGAUUGUUUCACUUGCAAUUGAAGGGUGCACCAGGGAGACGGUCUUUACACACAUGGCUAGUUGAUAAAUAUUUGCUUUUUUUUUUUUUUUUUUUU